UAAAGCCAAAACAAACAUUAAGCAUAAUGAAAUCAUACUAAUAGUGAGACCAUUGUUUAAAUCUUUAAAUACGUUGCAAACAGCUACAUUGCAUUUCAUAUAAUCGCUGCCUGGGCUUCGAUCGCCGACUCAAAGUCCAUUGAAAUGAAUAAGGAACAUUGUACUGUACAUAUUGGGGAUUAAUUUUGAAAGAAAUAUUGCCGGAUGCAUGAGAGAAUGUGAAACAUCCAAGACCAAAAAGACCACCGAAGUCCCAUCUAGCGUUAUAUUACAUGGAGAAACAAAUUAAAAAUUGCAUGUUGUUCUCAAGCUUAAUUUAUUUCUGAUGGAAAAAAACCUGAAUUAUUUAAAUAAGUGUAAUUUAAGUGAUUUGAGAAGUCAAGGUUUUGAAUUCCGAAGAUUUGAUGAUACCUACACUCAAAGAUCUAAUAGGCGAUUAAUUGUUCAAGAUAUGGCAGAAUUCAUUGAGUUAAUUCUGA